CGAACAGUCUCAGUUCGGAUUGAAGGCUGAAAUUCGCCUUCAUGAAGCCGGAAUUGCUAGUAAUGGCAGGUCAGCAUACUGCCGUGAAUACGUUCCCGGGCCUUGUACACACCGCCCGUCACACCAUGAGAGUUGGGAAUACCCGAAGCCUGUGAGCUAACUUUUAGAGGCAGCAGUCGAAGGUAGAAUCAAUGAUUGGGGUGAAGUCGUAACAAGGUACC
rnacentral:rRNA from 1 species